rnacentral:misc_RNA from 1 species
GGACUGCUCACUGUGACCGCACAAAGGCUAGAGACCAAAGGGGCCAACCACCUCUUCAUCUUUCAAAGGGGCAACUACCUCACUCCGGAGCGACGUACAUUCACAACCACCGAGCACUACGUCACCGUCCCCGACAUCUUCCUGCCGGCCAAGUACAACUGCCGCACACCCAUCUCGAAGACCAUCAUGAUGCAGAUGUUCUUCUACAUCAAGUCUGUCAAAGAGGCCAAAGAGCGCGACAUCUGGGCAAAAUUUCGACAGCUCAUUAGCACCAAAGAGCUCCAACACUACCAACCAUCCGAAAUCACCCUGCUCGUCAACUACUUCGAGUUCACCGCCUCCUUGGACUCCCACACGUGCUUUGAAGAUAUCCUCUCCGGAAAUCUUCUCCAACGAAUCCUAAGGCCGCUGACGUCCGGUGCAACCCAGAUCCUCAACUUCUUCAGGGGACGCCCCUCCUUCGUCAAGCUCAUCCAAGCCCUUGACUGGC